CAUGGCUCAGAUUGAAUGCUGGCGGAAUGCUUUACACAUGCAAGUCGAACGGCAGCACGGACUUCGGUCUGGUGGCGAGUGGCGAACGGGUGAGUAACAUAUCGGAACGUAUCCAAUAAUGGGGGAUAACUAAUCGAAAGGUUGGCUAAUACCGCAUACGCCCUGAGGGGGAAAGCUAGGGAUCUUCGGACCUGGCGUUAAUGGAGCGGCCGAUAUCUGAUUAGCUAGUUGGUGAGGUAAAGGCUCACCAAGGCGACGAUCAGUAGCUGGUCUGAGAGGACGACCAGCCACACUGGAACUGAGACACGGUCCAGACUCCUACGGGAGGCAGCAGUGGGGAAUUUUGGACAAUGGGCGCAAGCCUGAUCCAGCCAUUCCGCGUGAGUGAAGAAGGCCUUCGGGUUGUAAAGCUCUUUCGCAAGGGAAGAAAACUUAUCCUCUAACAUAGGAUGAGGUUGACGGUACCUUGAUAAGAAGCACCGGCUAACUACGUGCCAGCAGCCGCGGUAAUACGUAGGGUGCGAGCGUUAAUCGGAAUUACUGGGCGUA
rnacentral:rRNA from 1 species